GUCGAACGAACUCUGGUAUUGAUUGGUGCUUGCAUCAUGAUUUACAUUUGAGUGAGUGGCGAACUGGUGAGUAACACGUGGGAAACCUGCCCAGAAGCGGGGGAUAACACCUGGAAACAGAUGCUAAUACCGCAUAACAACUUGGACCGCAUGGUCCGAGUUUGAAAGAUGGCUUCGGCUAUCACUUUUGGAUGGUCCCGCGGCGUAUUAGCUAGAUGGUGAGGUAACGGCUCACCAUGGCAAUGAUACGUAGCCGACCUGAGAGGGUAAUCGGCCACAUUGGGACUGAGACACGGCCCAAACUCCUACGGGAGGCAGCAGUAGGGAAUCUUCCACAAUGGACGAAAGUCUGAUGGAGCAACGCCGCGUGAGUGAAGAAGGGUUUCGGCUCGUAAAACUCUGUUGUUAAAGAAGAACAUAUCUGAGAGUAACUGUUCAGGUAUUGACGGUAUUUAACCAGAAAGCCACGGCUAACUACGUGCCAGCAGCCGCGGUAAUACGUAGGUGGCAAGCGUUGUCCGGAUUUAUUGGGCGUAAAGCGAGCGCAGGCGGUUUUUUAAGUCUGAUGUGAAAGCCUUCGGCUCAACCGAAGAAGUGCAUCGGAAACUGGGAAACUUGAGUGCAGAAGAGGACAGUGGAACUCCAUGUGUAGCGGUGAAAUGCGUAGAUAUAUGGAAGAACACCAGUGGCGAAGGCGGCUGUCUGGUCUGUAACUGACGCUGAGGCUCGAAAGUAUGGGUAGCAAACAGGAUUAGAUACCCUGGUAGUCCAUACCGUAAACGAUGAAUGCUAAGUGUUGGAGGGUUUCCGCCCUUCAGUGCUGCAGCUAACGCAUUAAGCAUUCCGCCUGGGGAGUACGGCCGCAAGGCUGAAACUCAAAGGAAUUGACGGGGGCCCGCACAAGCGGUGGAGCAUGUGGUUUAAUUCGAAGCUACGCGAAGAACCUUACCAGGUCUUGACAUACUAUGCAAAUCUAAGAGAUUAGACGUUCCCUUCGGGGACAUGGAUACAGGUGGUGCAUGGUUGUCGUCAGCUCGUGUCGUGAGAUGUUGGGUUAAGUCCCGCAACGAGCGCAACCCUUAUUAUCAGUUGCCAGCAUUAAGUUGGGCACUCUGGUGAGACUGCCGGUGACAAACCGGAGGAAGGUGGGGAUGACGUCAAAUCAUCAUGCCCCUUAUGACCUGGGCUACACACGUGCUACAAUGGAUGGUACAACGAGUUGCGAACUCGCGAGAGUAAGCUAAUCUCUUAAAGCCAUUCUCAGUUCGGAUUGUAGGCUGCAACUCGCCUACAUGAAGUCGGAAUCGCUAGUAAUCGCGGAUCAGCAUGCCGCGGUGAAUACGUUCCCGGGCCUUGUACACACCGCCCGUCACACCAUGAGAGUUUGUAACACCCAAAGUCGGUGGGGUAACCUUUUAGGAACCAGC
rnacentral:rRNA from 2 species